rnacentral:rRNA from 1 species
AGUGAACGCUGGCGGCGUGCUUAACACAUGCAAGUCGAACGAGAACAGGUUAUAGCUUGCUAUAAUUGUCAGCUAAGUGGCGCACGGGCGAGUAAUGUAUAGGUAAUAUGCCUCUUACUAAGGGAUAACAAAUGGAAACGUUUGCUAAUACCUUAUACUCCUUAUUAACAUGAGUUAAUAAGGGAAAGAUUUAUUGGUAAGAGAUUAGCCUGUAUUGUAUCAGUUAGUUGGUGGGGUAAUGGCUUACCAAGACUAUGACACAUAACUGGUUUGAGAGGAUGAUCAGUCACACUGGAACUGAGACACGGUCCAGACUCCUACGGGAGGCAGCAGUGGGGAAUAUUGCACAAUGGACGAAAGUCUGAUGCAGCAACGCCGCGUGGAGGAUGACACAUUUCGGUGCGCAAACUCCUUUUAUAUGAGAAGAUAAUGACGGUAUUAUAUGAAUAAGCACCGGCUAACUCCGUGCCAGCCGCCGCCGUAA